AUUAGUUGUAAAAAAAGUAAAAUGUGAAAAAUGUUAUUUCAGUGUUUGACAAGUCCAAACCCACUGUAGACAACUGGAUUCAGCAUUGCUACAUACUUAUUUGGUGCACUCAACUUUAUAAAAUUCCAUACUAAGACAUUGUAACAGUCAACUUGUGAUGUGUUAUUUCUAUAAUUGAAGGUGUGCAUUGCUGCCCUCAAGAGACUGAGGAUCAGAGGAAUGAGAAUUGGUGGUCAACAUCAAUUUGUUGUUAUCGACGAGAGCAAAUUUGCUCACAAACGAAAGUACCAUCGUGGCCGAUGUGGCAACACUUGGCGGCGUAAACGCCAGUGGGUCUUCGGGAUGCUAGAGCUUGAUGGUAUUUCCAGAAGACCCAUUCUGAGACUCGUCAAGGACCGCUCAAGGCAAACACUUAUAAGCCAAAUUCAAUGACAUAUCAGACCUAGAACAUCAAUCCUUACGGAUGAAUGGCGUGCCUACAACAGACAGCUUUCCCAGUACGGAUAUCGUCAGUAUUCUGUCUGCCAUAAAAGACACUUUGUUGAUCCAGGGACUGGUGCUCAUACUCAGCAUAUUGAGCGUGCAUGGCAGAAUUACAAGUUGGAAAUAUGGCGUCGUAGAGGAAAUCGUACUACUGAGUCACUGAAAACUCACCUCAAAAUGAUAGAGUGGCACCACUGGUUAGGUAUACGCCAUUAUGAUGGUGUCUUAGGUAGACUUAUUCAUGAUGUAAAAAAGCAUGUCAAGACAAUAUAAAUGUGUGGGAUGUUGUAAUUAACUGUUUUUGCAGUGAUAUGGACCAAAUGCUGCAUUGCUUAACCCCCACCAUUGCACUGUUUUAAUUCAAUUUUGGGUGAAUCGUUCUCCAAAUGCAAUAAAAUAUAAUUUUAUCAAUUUUAA